UCCCUGAUAGCUCAGUUGGUAAAGAAUCUGCCUGCAAUGCAGGAGACCCUGGUUUGAUCCCUGGGCUGGGAC
rnacentral:tRNA from 1 species